AUGUGAUCAGAAGGACCUGGAAAGGUCCGCCAUAGUGGGUGACAGCCCCGUAUGAGAAGCAUGAUUGGACGUAUCAAGUAGGGCGGAACACGUGAAAUUCUGUCUGAAGAUCGGAGGACCACCUUCGAAGGCUAAGUACUCCUUACUGACCGAUAGUGAACCAGUACCGUGAGGGAAAGGCGAAAAGAACCCCUGUGAGGGGAGUGAAAUAGAACCUGAAACCGUAUACGUACAAGCAGUGGGAGCAGACUUGUUCUGUGACUGCGUACCUUUUGUAUAAUGGGUCAGCGACUUAAUUUAUGUAGCGAGCUUAACCGAAUAGGGGAGGCGAAGGGAAACCGAGUCUUAAUAGGGCGAUUAGUUGCAUGGAUUAGACCCGAAACCUGG
rnacentral:rRNA from 1 species